rnacentral:rRNA from 1 species
AGAGUUUGAUUCUGGCUCAGAUUGAACGCUGGCGGCGUGCUUAACACAUGCAAGUCGAACGCGAAAGAGACUUCGGUCUCGAGUAGAGUGGCGCACGGGUGAGUAACGCGUGGAUAAUCUGCCCUCAUGACCGGGAUAACAGUUGGAAACGGCUGCUAAUACCGGAUACGCUCUGAAUGAACUUUUAGGGGAAAGACGGCCUCUGCUUGCAAGCUGUCGUAUGAGGAUGAGUCCGCGUCCCAUUAGCUGGUUGGCGGGGUAACGGCCCACCAAGGCAACGAUGGGUAGCCGAUCUGAGAGGAUGAUCGGCCACACUGGAACUGAAACACGGUCCAGACUCCUACGGGAGGCAGCAGUGGGGAAUAUUGCGCAAUGGGCGAAAGCCUGACGCAGCGACGCCGCGUGAGGGAUGAAGGUUUUCGGAUCGUAAACCUCUGUCAGAAGGGAAGAAAGUGCGUGGUGCUAAUCAGCCGCGCAUUGACGGUACCUUCAAAGGAAGCACCGGCUAACUCCGUGCCAGCAGCCGCGGUAAUACGGAGGGUGCAAGCGUUAAUCGGAAUUACUGGGCGUAAAGCGCACGUAGGCUGUUGUGUAAGUCAGGGGUGAAAUCCCACGGCUCAACCGUGGAACUGCCCUUGAUACUGCAUGACUUGAAUCCGGGAGAGGGUGGCGGAAUUCCAGGUGUAGGAGUGAAAUCCGUAGAUAUCUGGAGGAACACCGGUGGCGAAGGCGGCCACCUGGACGGUAACUGACGCUGAGGUGCGAAAGCGUGGGUAGCAAACAGGAUUAGAUACCCUGGUAGUCCACGCU